rnacentral:rRNA from 1 species
AUUGAACGCUGGCGGCAUGCCUAACACAUGCAAGUCGAACGGUAACAGGUCUUCGGAUGCUGACGAGCGGCGGACGGGGGCGGAAUACAUCGGAACGUGCCCGAUCGUGGGGGGUAACGAGGCGCAAGGUGUGCUAAUACCGCAUACGAUCUACGGAAGAAAGCGGGGGAGCUCCGGACCUCGCGCGGACGGAGCGGCCGAUGGCAGAUGAGGUCGUUGGUGGGAUAAAAGCUUACCAAGCCGACGAUCUGUAGCUGGUCUGAGAGGAUGAUCAGCCACACUGGGACUGAGACACGGCCCAGACUCCUACGGGAGGCAGCAGUGGGGAAUUUUGGACAAUGGGCGAAAGCCUGAUCCAGCCAUGCCGCGUGCAGGAUGAAGGCCUUCGGGUUGUAAACUUCUGUUGUACGGAACGAAAAGCCUCUUUCUAAUAUAGAGGGGUCAUGACGGUACCGUAAGAAUAAGCACCGGCUAACUACGUG